AACGAACGCUGGCGGCAUGCCUAACACAUGCAAGUCGAACGAGAUCUUCGGGUCUAGUGGCGCACGGGUGCGUAACGCGUGGGAAUCUGCCCUUUGGUUCGGAAUAACAGUUGGAAACGACUGCUAAUACCGGAUGAUGACGAAAGUCCAAAGAUUUAUUGACAGAGGAUGAGCCCGCGUAGGAUUAGCUAGUUGGUGUGGUAAAGGCGCACCAAGGCGACGAUCCUUAGCUGGUCUGAGAGGAUGAUCAGCCACACGGGGACUGAGACACGGCCCAGACUCCUACGGGAGGCAGCAGUGGGGAAUAUUGGACAAUGGGCGAAAGCCUGGUCCAGCAAUGCCGCGUGAGUGAUGAAGGCCUUAGGGUUGUAAAGCUCUUUUACCCGGGAUGAUAAUGACAGUACCGGGAGAAUAAGCUCCGGCUAACUACGUGCCAGCCGCCGCAGUAA
rnacentral:rRNA from 1 species